CCUCCAAAUCGCUCUUGUCCUCCAAGAACAAGAUAAUUCAUCUCCGACUUGGAGCCUGUGGUCCCACCCCUCCUGUCUAGACAUCCAAGAGCUGGUGGCCCCUGUCCCUAGUCCAGCCUUUAUCUUCCAGUGGCCAGUUACUCCUUCACAACCAAGAUCUAAAUGGAUGAUCAGUCCAGUUGUUGGGGCUAGGUGGCCGAGGAGUAAACACCCCAGCCUCAAACGCAAAGGGUGUCUCUGGAGAGCAGCAAGAGAAAGAAAGAAGCAAACGAAAUUCCUGAAUGGAUAAAAGCUGCUACGUCAGCGGUACCCAGUCGCAUCCUACACUCCACAAGAGGAGAAGAACUGGGAGAGACCCGCGGCCGCCCAGCGUCUCACCUCUCCUCCUCGCCGAGGCAAGUCCCCCAGACGCGGCCAACGUCUUAAUGCAGCCGGAGCGGCAGGAAGGAAAGCGCAGAGAGGACCGGGGAAGAGGCUCUGAACCUGGACUCCAGGAGCAGCGGCCCGGUUCACUUCAUCCGUUCAUCGAUGUCGUCAUAGGCGGCCCGCAUCUCUGACUUUGGUAUGACCUGCAUUGUCAAGGCUAAGAGGCAAUGCAACAACACAGCCUGGGGACAAAAGGCCACCCUGUAUCUGGUUCUGCGUGGAGAGGAAAGAAUAUGUCAGAAAGCCUCCUUGCUCUUGAGGGACACUUUUGAAGGGGCAUCUUGUUUCCAGCUGGAAGAGCAUGAGCUAUUCACAGACUGAUCCCAGUUAAAAGGAGCCAAGAGUCCUCUGCUCCUCUCCAAGCACAGCAACUGCCUUCUGCGUCCCCGGCAAAGAGAAGGACCAUCUAGCUGGACUGGAUUGAGAGCCAGGUGAAGACAGUUGAGGAUGGGGACUGAGGUUUGCUGGAGAGCUCCUUCCUGCUGGAGCCCUGCAGUGGAGCCUGGAGGAUCGUGGGUAGGGGGCGGAAAGACUAAGCCUCCAGGGCUGGGACCAUAUUCUGAGUUCUCAGCUGUGGUACCCUUCCUCUCAUUGAACCUUGGCGCUGCCACCUGGAAGGCAGAAAUGUGCUCUUUGCUCACCCAUUGUCUCCCAGCUGGAGUUUCAAACUGCAGAAUCUUUCCUUCGGUGUUUUGAGUUAAAAAAAAAAAACUUUGAACAAAAGAGAUCCUUACUCCUCCUAAAUAUUAGGAUCACGGUUUGGGAGGGAUUAGAACUAAAAAAGACUCCUCUGUUGGGAGGGGGCUGGGACCCAUUGAGUCUCCAAGCCAUACCCCUGCCUCAACCUCUUCAGUGCUGAAGUUACAGAAGACCACUUCUCUUUGAGGGAAUUUUCCCUAUCUAUUUUCUAUCUUUGCGCACUAGUCCUGGUGCAACUUACUGUAGGGCCUAAAUGGACAAUGUAGGACCUACAAGAAGUGCGAGGGUGGCCAUCAGAACCGCGAAUGCCAGUGGAUUACAAACGUGGCAGGCGGGUAGUAGGCGAGGCCCCAAAAGGCUGGCUAACGAUCCACACGAAGACAUUGGUUCCCCCACCCCACCCCAUUCUCUGGGGGAGGGGCACCCCAAUUGCCAGCCUUGGACUGGCCUGGGGGGGAAGGGGCGGGGAGGGAGGGGCAGGGAAUGAAGUAGUGACGUCAGACCAGGUAUAGCCAAUCAGAGGUUGGCCUGAGGAAGGAGUGUGAAGGGAUGAAUGAAAAGUCCUGAGCCUAAGAGCGCCCCCGCCAGAGCAGCGGCCAAGGCUGAGGAGGGAGCUGGGACUCGAGAUCCCGCUCCACCCUGCCGCCUACCGCUCUACCCAGUCACCUGGUAAGCCCGGGUACCCUCGAUUCACGUCCGUGGCGCUGCCUGGGUGGAAACGCGCCGGAAGACUGCACAGGACAGCGCCACUGGGCACCCUAGGUUUGAUCUUCUCCCCUGGGCGGGUGGGUGUUCCACCCUCCCGCCCUCUCUCUGCCCUGUGGACAAGGAUGUGAGGACAAGUGACAUCCAGCACCGCGGACAGCUCCCAGCGCACCCUAGGGAGCCGGCAGCCAGCAUGGGCCAUUUCCUAGGCCGGUUGAUGGGACCUUAGGGCUCCUGAGAAGGCUCCAACUGGUCCCUGAGAACUCAGUCCUCCUCCUAUCAACCAGCUGAAGGUCAGAGAAGACCUGAAACCUCACCCUGCGCUCCCCUGCAAGGCAAAAUGUGUUCCCAGACUUCAGAGAGGGACUGGCAGCUCUCCCCGGCGCUAUGGAGCGAACGAGGACUUGCUUACCUGGCCACUUCCAGCCAGUUGUCCCACCAGCCCAUCUGUUUCUCCUGUUGUCUCUCGACUGCAUCCCUAAAUCCUAUCCCAUGUCCAAUAAAGAGUUGUGGAGGGAA